rnacentral:rRNA from 1 species
GCGAUCAUACCAGCACUAAUGCACCGGAUCCCAUCAGAUAUCCGAAGUUAAGCGUGCUUGGGUGAGAGCAUUACUAGGAUGAGUGACCCCCUGGGAAGUCCUCGUGUUGCACCU